rnacentral:rRNA from 1 species
ACAAGCGGUGGAUGAUGUGGAUUAAUUCGAUGCAACGCGAAAACCUUACCUACCCUUGGCAUGUCUGGAACCUUGGUGAGAGCCGAGGGUGCCUUCGGGAGCCAGAACACAGGUGCUGCAUGGCUGUCGUCAGCUCGUGUCGUGAGAUGUUGGGUUAAGUCCCGCAACGAGCGCAACCCUUGUCAUUAGUUGCCAUCAUUUGUUGGGCACUCUAAUGAGACUGCCGGUGACAAACCGGAGGAAGGUGGGGAUGACGUCAAGUCCUCAUGGCCCUUAUGGGUAGGGCUUCACACGUCAUACAAUGGUCGGUACAGAGGGUUGCCAACCCGCGAGGGGGAGCUAAUCCCACAAAGCCGAUCGUAGUCCGGAUCGCAGUCUGCAACUCGACUGCGUGAAGUCGGAAUCGCUAGUAAUCGUGGAUCAGCAUGUCACGGUGAAUACGUUCCCGGGUCUU